AUGUCAGCGCAUGGCCGGGCGUACCAUAGUGCCGCCGAGAAGCUGCGGCGGUUUGAGGUGUACCGUCGCAACGUGGACCUCAUCGAUGCCUCCAACAGGGAGGCCGAGAGGCUCGGCUAUGAGCUCGGUGAGAACGAGUUCACCGACCUCACUAAUGAGGAGUUCAUGGCGCGGUAUGUCGGUGGCGCUUAUGGUGGAGUCGGUGAUGGUGGUGGUCUCAUCACUACUUUAGCCGGAGAUGUUGCAGAGCAGGCAGUAUCAUCCAAGAACGCCGUCGAGGAGGAUCGUAAUUUAACGAUGACCGCCGCUGACCCUCCCCGGCAUUUCGACUGGAGGGAACAUGGUGUUGUCACGCCUGCCAAGCAACAAGGGGCAUGUGGAUGCUGCUGGGCAUUUGCUGCAGCGGCGACGGUGGAGAGCUUGAACAAGAUAAAGGGCGGGGAGCUGGUUGACCUGUCCGUGCAGGAGCUGGUUGACUGCAGCACGGGUGUGUUCAGCUCGCCAUGCGGCUACGGGUGGCCCAAGAGCGCACUCGAAUGGAUCAAAUCAAAAGGCGGCCUCCUCACGGAGGCCGAGUACCCCUACUUGGCCAAGCGAGGCAGAUGCGCGGUGCACGACGCAGCCCGCCGCGUCGGCAAAAUCACCGGCGUCCAGGAUGUACGGCCGGGCAGCAGCGAGAGCGCGCUGGCGCUGGCCGUGCUCGGGACGCCGGUGACUGUCCAAAUCGACGGGGAGCGGCCCCGUGCUGCAGAACUACAAGUCCGGCGUUUACAAGGGGCCGUGCACCACCAGCCAGAACCACGUGGUGGCGGUGGUCGGCUACGGGGUCACUGGCGCCGGAGAGUACUGGAUCGCCAAGAACUCGUGGGGGCAGACGUGGGGUCAGAAGGGCUUCUUCUUCGUGCGCAGAGGAGCCGACGGGCCCCGCGGGCUGUGUGGCAUCGCCAUGUACGGUGCCUACCCCGUCAUGUAGUUAGUACUAUAUCAUAUAGUCUGCGCGCUGGGUAUACUACAUAUGACGCGCAGCGUAAUGUGCAAUUAAAAUAA
rnacentral:rRNA from 1 species